rnacentral:rRNA from 1 species
CUGACCAGCCAUGCCGCGUGCAGGAUGACGGUCCUAUGGAUUGUAAACUGCUUUUGCACAGGAAGAAACCACACUACGAGUAGUGUCUUGACGGUACUGUGAGAAUAAGGAUCGGCUAACUCCGUGCCAGCAGCCGCGGUAAUACGGAGGAUCCAAGCGUUAUCCGGAAUCAUUGGGUUUAAAGGGUCCGUAGGCGGCUUUAUAAGUCAGUGGUGAAAUCUCCCCGCUCAACGGGGAAACGGCCAUUGAUACUGUAAGGCUUGAAUUAUUAGGAAGUAACUAGAAUAUGUAGUGUAGCGGUGAAAUGCUUAGAGAUUACAUGGAAUACCAAUUGCGAAGGCAGGUUACUACUAAUUGAUUGACGCUGAUGGACGAAAGCGUGGGUAGCGAACAGGAUUAGAUACCCUGGUAGUCCACGCCGUAAACGAUGGAUACUAGCUGUUGGGGGCAACUUCAGUGGCUAAGCGAAAGUGAUAAGUAUCCCACCUGGGGAGUACGUUCGCAAGAAUGAAACUCAAAGGAAUUGACGGGGGCCCGCACAAGCGGUGGAGCAUGUGGUUUAAUUCGAUGAUACGCGAGGAACCUUACCAAGGCUUAAAUGUAGAUUGACCGGUUUGGAAACAGACUUUUC